AGUGUCAGGUGUCCGCCCGGGAGGGGGCUGGGCUGGCCAGGCGCCACCCCCGCCUGGGCAAGGUGGUUGGGCUCUGUAGGCGAGAGAGAGAGAAAGAGAGAGAGAGAGGGCUGCGGUGGGGGUCGGUCGGCCACUUGGUUGCGCCCCUACUCCCCCCUCCCUCAGAGCAGCUGCGUCUUUGCAGAACUGGGCGGAGCCGCCUCGCAACCACCAGUGGCUGCGCUGGAUGUUGGAGCUCUUGCAGGAAUUCAUCAGCCGCUGGAUGCUAGGUUCAGCACUGAGCUCCUCAGCAGUCAGUCGCAUCUUGGGCUGCGCGCUGGCUAGUGGCCCCCGGACCGGAAUCCAUCUGCCGGCACCUGUAAGUCUCCAGCAGCCCCGGGCGUUCGCUCAGCUGUUCCACCGCGGUCUUCUUUGGCUGUAAGUACAGACCCACGAGCCAUGGAGAAACUCCUCCAGAUGGUGGAAGGCAUGCAUCUAGAGGAGAUGUCUUCCCAGCGGCUCCAGCCCGAGCCCUCCCGAGCCCAGAAGCGUCCCCUCUCUCCGCAGGCGGGCCUGAGCGCCUCCAAAAGGAAAGUGGUCCCUAGGUCGGAGAAGCAGCCCGAGACGGGGUCAGGUAGUGAGGAGAGUAAGAAAGAGGAGGAAAAGAAAGAUAAUGCGGGCGUCGGAGUGGAGCGGGGAGCCUCGCCAGCCCAGUCUAUCCGAUGGCCGGUAGAGAGCAAAAAUAAAUUUGUGCACAUCAGUUUGGGGGACCAAGAGGAGAGGGCUGAGAGUUCCCAGACGGGAUUAGCUGUAACCGAGCCCAAGCUCGCGGCGCCCGAGAUGUUAGCAGAUCCCGGGGCUAGCGCUGCAAGUACCUCGUCUACUCCGGGGGCUGAGCGCGAAUGCGUUUCGACAGAGAGCAUGCGUAAAGUUACCGAUGUAGUUGCGGAGAGCGGGGAUGCGGACACGGAUCGCGCGUCGCCCGAGCGAUCCGACAAAGGGCCCGCUUCUGUAGAGGGUGAGCCGGUGGCGACUGAAGUGGUAGGAGAGAGUGUGGAAACCGAUGCCGGGGCCGUUGCCACCGAAAGCGAGCUUGCGGGAAAGGGCGUGAAGUCAGAGAGCGGGGCUCCUGGCGCGGGUAGCUCGGACUCUAAGCGGCCAGACUCAGAAUCGGCUUUGACGGAGGACGAGGCUCCGGUAGCGAGUGUCGGUGCGGACCGCGCGUCUCCCGACACAAAAUCCGCGUCCUCUGAGGUUUCAGAAACUAGCGUUUCCUCAGGUGACAAGGCUGUGCCGGCCCAAGUGUUAUCGGAAAAGGUCCUCCCCCCCACCAAUGUUUUGUCUUCCCCGUGUCCCCAAACUGUUACUGGUUCCCCCGAAGGAGAGACUGUGGUGCCUGAAGUGUUGUCAGAGAGAGGGUCCGCAGCCCCCGCGGUUUUGUCUGAUGCGCGUUCGGAAACUAGGAGCGUUUCCCCCGAGAGGAAGCCUGUAGUAGCCAAAAUGUUGUCAGAGGCGGCGGCCUCGUCCCCUGGUGUCUCAUCCCCCCCGUGUCCCGAAAUUAAGUGUAUUAUUUCCCCCAAAGGCAAAUCUGUGGUCACCGAAAUGUUAUCAGGGACAGUCCCUCCCGUCCCCAGCACCUCCUCCUCUGAGGUUUCUGAGGUUAGAUGUCCUUCCCCUGGGAGCAAGCCAGUAGUAAGUGGCUUGCUCUCAGAGGCAGUAUCUCCGACCUCGAGUAUUUUGGCCUCAGAGGAUUCGGAGACCAGAUGUAUCACCCCUGAGAGCAAGCCCUUGGUAGGCGCUGUGCUCUCAGAGGCCGUGUCUCCGACCUCCAGCAUCUUGACCUCUGAGGAUUCAGAGACGAGGUGUACUUCCCCUGAGAGCAAGCCUAUAGUAGUAGGUGGAAAGCUCUCAGAGACCGGCCCUACAUCCCUAGUUGUUGUGACUGCUGAAUGUUCUGAGGCUAGAGGUACUUCCGCCCAGAGCAAGCCUAUAGUAGGCGAAGCGCUCUCAGAGCCCGUGACUCUAGCCCCAGGAGUCCCGGCCGAGAAACGUGCGGAGGAGACCAGAUGUGUCCCCCUGGAAGGGAAACCUGUUGUAAGUGGAGUGGACUCCAGGCCGGGCUCACCAAAACCAAGUGUUUCCUCUACUGAAUGUCCUGAGGCUGGACGCCUUUCUCCCGAGACCAAGCCAGUAGUAACUGGAGUGGUCUCAGAGACGGGAUCUCUAGCCCCAGAUGCCUCAUCUGCUGAAUGUCCCGACACCGAAUGUGAGUCUCCCGACAUCAAACCGAUAAUAGUCAGAAUUAUCCCCGAUAGAUUAUCCCCCCCCAUCAGCAUCUCAUCCACUGAGUAUUCUGAUACUGGAUAUGCUUCCCCAGAGAGGAAACCUGUGGUAAGUGAAAUCCUCCCUGGGAGACUAUCUCCACCUAUCAGCAUCUCUUCCACUGAGUACUCGGAAGCUAGCUGCGCCUCCCCCGAACGCAAGCCAGUAGUAACUGGCUUGUUCCCAGAGAUACACUCUCCAGCUAUAAGUAUCUCCUCUGAGGGCUCGGAAGCCGGCUAUUUUUGUGCGGACAGAAAGCCCAUAGUAAGUGACAUAUUCCCCGGAAGAAUUUCCCCGGACAUGAGCAACUCAUUUUCGGAGUGUUCGGAGGUCAAUACCCCAGAGAGGAAACCAGUAGUAACUGGGCUCUUCCCUGGGAGAGUGUCACCAACCACCAUCGUCUUGUCCUCUGAGGGUUCAGAGACUAGCUGCCCUUCCCCAGAGAGGAAGCCAGUUAUAGCCGGACUGCUCUCCGGGAGAGUUUCACCCACCACCGUUGUCUUGUCUUCCGAAUGUUCUGAGAAUAGCACUUUCUUUCCAGAAACCAAACCUGUAGUAGCAGAAAUGUUUUCGGAAAGGUUCUCUCCAGAUGAGAGUAGCUUUUCUUCAGAAAGUUCAGAGAACAGCUGUGCCUCCCCAGAGAGGAAGCCUGUAAUAACAGGACUCUUCUCGGGGAGGGUCUCAUCACCCAUCAGCAUUUCAUCUACAGAGUACUCUGACCAUGGAGACGCUUCCCCAGAAAGGAAGCCCAUAGUAGCUGGACUUUUCCCAAUGCGGUCAUCUUCACCCAUAAGCAUUUCAUCUACCGAAUAUUCAGACAUGGGAGGCGCUUCCCCCGAAAGGAAGCCCGUGAUCAGCGAACUGUUAGAACGAAUGCGUCAGUCGUCGAAUGUUCUGUCUUCUGUUUGUUCUGAUGGUAGGUGUGUGUCUCCGGAAAGUAAACCUUUAGGAAGGGGUAUAUUCUCAGAGACCCUAUUGUCAUCCACUAGCAUCUUGGCCUCUGAAGGUUCAGAGUCCAGAUGUACUUCUCCUGAGAACAAGCCCACAGUAAGUGGGAUCUUCUCAGAAACAGGGUCUCCAGCCCCAGAUGUUUUGUCUAGUGAAUGUGGUUUAGAUACUCGUUGUGGUUCUCCAGAAAACAAGCCCAUGGUCGGUGGAAUGUUUUCCGAGACACUCUUCUCAGCUACCAGCAUUUUGGCCCCUGAGGGCCCGGAGUCUAGGUGCACUUCGCCAGAGAACAAGCCCACGGGAAGUGGGAUGUUCUCAGAGACACUUUUUUCAGCCCCGAGCAUCCUGGCCCCUGAGGGUUCAGAGACUCGCUGCCCCUCCCCAGAGAACAAGCCAGGAGUUUCUGGCAUGUUCUCCGAGACUCUAUCUCCACCUCCCAACAUUUUCUCCGAAAGUUCGGACACCAGGUGCGUAUCCCCGGAGAGCAAGCCAGUAGUAACUGGCUUGUUCUCCGAGACAACAUCCCCACCUCCCAACAUCUUUUCCUCCGAAAGUUCGGACACCAGGUGCAUAUCUCCCGAGAUCAAGCCGGUAGUAACUGGCUUGUUCUCCCAGAGACUAUCUUCACCCAUCACCAUUUCAUCUACUGAAUGUUCGGAGACUGGAUAUACUUCUCCUGAGAGGAAACCCGUAGUAGUUGAAAGGCCCCCAAACAGACCCUCUUCACCCAUCAGCAUCUCAUCAACUGAAUAUUCUGACACUGAAGGUGCUUCCCCUGAAAGGAAGCCGGUAGUUACUGAACUGUUUUCAGACAGACUGUUUUCAUCAACAAGUGUUGUCCCAUCUUUGUGUUCUGAAACAAAACUUGCUUCAGCAGAAAGCAAGACUUCAUCAACAAUUGGACUUUUGCCAGAAAACAUCUCUCUUCCAUCUACAAGUUUCUUUACCACUCAGUGUUCUAACAUAAGAUCUUCCUCUCCCGAAAGCAAACCUGUAAUAGCCAGACUGUGCUCAGAGAGCCUAACUCCUACCACAAGCCUCUUGCCUUCUCAGUAUUUUGAGACCACAUCUGAUUCUACAGAAAGCAAAGCUACAGAGACUGGAGGACUGAUUCCAUCCUCGAGUCUCUUUUCUUCUCAGAGUUCUGAGACAAGAUUUGAUGCUUCUGAGAGGCUUUCUGCUGUAACCAGACUAUUAUCAGAGCUUGUGGAUCCUGCCACACUUAUGAUGGCUUCUCAGUCUUCUGGCAUAAGGUUUGCUUCCACACAGAACAAUCCUGAAGUAUCCAGACUGUCUCCAGAAAGACUGAUUCCUGCAACAGGUUUUGUGUACCCUCCCUCUUCUGAGACAAGAGCUACCUCUGCGGAGAACAAUCCGGAAGCAUCUGGAGUGUUCUCGGAACGAUUGUCACCUAGGACAGGUAUGGUGUCCUCUCUCUGUUUUGAGACGAUGCUUGCUUCCACAGGGAGCAAGCCUGUAGUAUCCAGAAUGUUCUUAGAGAGUGUGUCUCCUGCCACAGGUUUCAUGUAUCCUCCACGUCCCACUUCAUCUGAAAGUGAUGCUGCUGUACCUGACGUGUUUUCCGAGAGAUUGUCUCCCACAACAGGUAUUGCAUUCCUGCCAUGUCCACCAAUAGAAGCCGCUCUGACAAGGAGUGGUCCUGCCAGAAUGGGAGUCUUCCAAGAGAGACUAUCUCCCACAACAGAGACAAGAGCUGUUGAAGAAAGCAGUCCAGCAGGAACAGGAGUAUUCGCCGAAAGAUUAUCUCCCACAACAGGUGGGACAGGCACUUCAAAGAAAGAAGAAGCUUCUUCAAGUCUGAAUGAAGCUUCACAAGGAGGAGUGCUGAUGGGGAGAUUAUCUCCUAUAGAAGGUGUGACAAGCACUUCAAAGAAAGAAGAAGCUCGUUCAAACCAGAACGAAGCUUCACAAGGAGGAGUACUGAUGGGGAGAUUAUCUCCUAUAGAAGAUAUGAAAGGCACUUCAUGUUCAAAGAAAGAAGAAGCUUCUUCAAGUCUGAACGAAGCUUCACAAGGAGGAGUACUGAUGGGGAGAUUAUCUCCUAUAGAAGGUGUCAUGGGGCCUCCACAUCUAGAGGCAGAAGCUUCUUCAAAGGAUAGCAAUCUUCCAGAAAUGGAAAUGCUGAUGAGGAGAUUAUCUCCUGUAGAAGGUAUUGUGUUUUCUCAGUUCUGUGAUAAUAUUUGCUUCCACAGAGACCAAACCUGUAGUAGGCAGAAUAUUCUCAGAGAGUGUGUCUCCUUCCACAGGUAUCACAGGGCCUCCACUUUCAGAGGCAGAAGAAGCUUCUUCAAGAGAGAAGGAAUCUCUAGAAAUAGGAGUGCUGGUGAGGAGAUUAUCUCCUAUAGAAGGUAA
rnacentral:lncRNA from 1 species